rnacentral:misc_RNA from 1 species
CACCACACCCGUUUAGCUACCUCAUCCGCUAACCGUUUCUGUCCAGUCUCGCGUAGACAACGAAAAAAAAAAGAAGCGUCUGCACUAUAGCGAAUAGUGAACGAACGACAACAACCUAGACGAGCAUCGCGCUGGAAAACUGCGCCAUCUCGUUUUUGUUUUCCUUUUCCUCCCUUUUCGGCUCGUUUCUGUAUCUCUAGAGCACUUUUAGUUCGCUUCACUACUGUACCUUUGCUGCUUUUUUUUUUAUUAUUAUUUGUAUUUAUAUUUGUAUUUAUAUAUCACAAGACGCAUCGCAAGCGUGCAUCAUUUUCUUCUUUUCUGCCCCUCUCUGACCUCUGCAUCUUUGCAAGCUUCUCGACCCCAUAGCUGCUUGGGUGGCAGUGGAUAGGGGGCAGCGCCUGAAGUACUAAACGCAGGACUGCGCAAUCCAUCCUUUCAUUUCGCGUUUUUGUUUUUGCAUGCAUUCCCAUUAUAUUUCCUCAUCAUCUCACAGAAGAGAAAACCUACCGUCACCUAUACAUACAUAAACACACACACACACACAAGGACACUAUGCGCUCUACAGAACUGAUUGUGGAGCGGGGGCCCUUGCACCAUGAGGCGCAUUCAAUGGCCAAUGAGUCGCCGUUGAACCAACCGCAAGAGCAGUUCUCCCUGGAGCCGAAACUGGAAAAGGUGACGGCACCAUCCUGUGAGUCGUCGUCCGACGAGGCGGCCUACCCGAAGGGGAACGAAGAGGAAGAGCGCAACGAAACGCCUCGUGAUCCGUGCAAACUGACCGAUGUGUCUACCGACCAUUAUGCCAAGGAUCCCGAUUCGGAGGAGGAAGAAGCUGCGGCGGCUUCUCUGGCGAACAAAGAGCCAGAGGAGGAUGCACAAGACGAAGCUGGAGGAGACGGGUCGCACGUCGGGGCGGUCCCUGCCGAAGUUGCCAAGACAACGCGUCCCCACGGCCUCCACAAGGCCAAGAAGAAGCAUUCGAAUCACGCAAAGGAGGCUAAGGCGGCAGAGACGGUGGAAAAGCCGGCAGCGCCGCGUAAGAAGAAGCCCAUGUACAAGGUUAACAUCGACAACGUGGAGCGUCACCCUCCUGUCCCGGAGGGUGUGAACACGCCGCGCAGCGUGGCGCUCUGUAAGGAGCACGGCGUGAACCCUAGUGAGCUUGCCCGGUACGACAGGAAGCACUUCAAAGGUGCCGGCGUGUCGGACGAGGUGGCGGAGCUGCGCUACCAAAGUUACGAGAAGCGCCGCUGUGCCCGUAUGGCGCAGCUGAAACCGGCCUACAAGGAGAGCAUCAAAUAUGACUUGGAGGAUGCCGUGUCCGUCUCCGCGGCCAAGAACAAGGCUCAAGCAGCGGAAGAGGCUCUUGCGCGACCCGCCGCAGCGGUGCAGGCGGCCGCCCCGCCGCCGAAGCUGUUGGAUGAAGAAGCGGAGAUGCAGCGUCAGUUUGAGGCUCAGCAUCAGCGUCUGCUCGAGCAGGAGCGCCGAAAGACGGUGGCGUCGGGAUACAAUAGCGAUGGUCGUCGCCGCAGUCCCCCGCGCGCAGGCCAUUUCUACGGCGCGUCGGUGCGCUCUGUCGGGUCGUCCAAGUCGCCCGGGCGCCACUCGAUGAACACAUCCGUCGGCGCCAGACCCACCGUCGACCAACCGUAUAGUGCCGCGAAAAUCUAUAGCGCGAGCAUUGUGGAGAGUCGCCCGCUGACGCAGAGCGAGGUGAUCAUGAUCGAUGAAAUCAACGAGCGCGAGGCUCACCGCAUCGACACGCAGGAGCGCGCCUUCGUCAUCCAGGAGAACAAGCAGCUGAUGCACGUCGAGCGCGAGCUGAUUCGUGAACGCCUCGCAUGUGUGCGCGUGCAGAAGAAUGCGGAGGACCGGGAGAAGAUGCAGCAGAAAAUGCACAAGCGCAACGAGGCGCGCCAGAACGUGGCGGCGGAGCGCCGCAAGAAACUGGAGGCAGAGCGUCAGGCGCGUAUCCAGGACAGUAUUGCCGAGAAGGCGGUUCGCUGCCAUGCAACGAACCCGUACGCCUCGCUUAUGCUGCGUCAGAUGAGCGGCUUCUCCACGCGCCGUACAUCUAGCAGCUUCCCGUCCCAGGGGGCGGACGUGAGCGCUUCACAGGAGCAGUCUUCAGAGGCGGAGUAGUAGGCAACCGUGAGGCUGCUGCAAGUGUUCAUGUGACUCUGUUUAUGGUGUGUCGAUUUUACGACGGAAGCCGCGCCAUCAAGGCACAGUUUGUUCCUGUUGCUUCGCACACCAAAGUCGGGGUGUGUGAAAGUACAGGCUCACGUUGGACUGCAGAGGUGUGUUGCGUGGCUGUGUUUUGUGUGUCUGUGUGUGUAGCAGAGCGUGCCUGCAUGAGCGCACCGUGAGGCCGUAUCCCUAAGCCAGCGUUCAUUCUGUGUCCCGUGCCCAUAGAGCACAAUCAUCACUUUUAUUGAUGUUGUCUGUACGGUUCUGGUCAUUUCUCAAAUACGUCUUUUUUUUCGCCUGGUCACCUUUCUCUUUUUCUCCUGUCUCAUGAUCGCUGCCUCCGUUGUCUUCAUGCGCACUGGAGUCCCACCGCCCAAGAUCCUCAGCAUCUUCCUUUUCCGCCUUUUUGCACGGCUCCCUCCGCAGCGAAACAGAAAAGACUCCUGCGCUUCUCCUGUCGCCUUUAUGACCUCCCCCUCCCUCCCCUUCCCCCAAAUCUUUGGUUUAUAAAUAUAUAUUCCAUUUUUUCUUUUUGCGGUCUGGGGUUCUGUGUGUGUGUGUGUGUACUCUUUCUUUUUUUAUUCGCUUGUACCUUCAAGUGUUCUGUACACCCCUAGCUGUGCGAGGGACUGCCAAGCAAGACGACGAAGACGGAUAGAGAGAAUCGGAAGAGAAGACGGAGUCGCAGGUGCCUGAGCGCCCCCGGGAGUGCUGUGUUUCACGACACGGAGUCGCCUGUGUCUCUGCACUUCUCCAACUAACCUCCUUUCCAACGCUCCAGCCGCACUUUGGUUUGGCUUGAGAGCCCUGUUCCGUUCUCCGCUGUCACCUGGUACAGUUUCAUAGAAUGCGGGGGGCAUGGUGCGGUCUAUGUUUGUUGGUUGCGCCAUUGCAGGGAUGCGUUUGAAAGUGUGGCUUCGUGCAGCCUAUGUGCCAAUGGGUAGAAAAGGGAGCGUACGUCGGACGCCACCUCGAGCGCAGGUAUGUGUAUAUGGGUGCGCCCCUGGCCUUCCUUGCCUUAUGCAUCGCUCAGGGGAUGUAACGGCGUAUUUCACAUCACAGUGACACACACACACACGCGCGCGCGCAUGCGUCACACAGCACCCCCUGCUCUCGGCGCACCCCCUACCUCUCCUGGACCAACAGCAGCUUCGACGUGCGUGCGAGUAGAACACGUCUGCGGAAGGCAAUCGUGUAAAAGGAGAAGCCGUUCCCACAGCGAAUACACCUCUGGUAUGGCAUGAGGCACGGUAACGUCGCAGUGGCUUGCAGUAGAAGCUUGCGUGCAUGCAGCAAGCGCUGCUAGAACCGUGGAGUGUGAGGCUUGGGUGGUGCGACGGAGUUACCAAGGGUUUUUGUCCUUUUUUCCAUGUCCUCUGUACUGUACGUUUCCCUUCUUGCUUUUUGUAGCGAAUGCCUGCGGCAAUACACGCACACACACGCAAUCAGACAUGCUAUUUAACGAAGAGCACAAGUGCUGUUCACGCAGCUGUGUUCUAUGUUGUAUGUACAGACACAUG